AUGAAUUUCACCACCAAAAACACAACAACUUCUCCAAUCAUAAAAUACCGCUCCUUCCAUAUUGAUUGUGCUUUGGCAACUAGAUGCAGUGCUAGGCUUCACUCUGCAAGGUGUUUAAAAAGAAAAACAGGUUACCCAGGAUUUAUCAUGGAGUGGAACAAUGCAAACAGUGCCUCUCUCUAGAUGGGAACUUUGCUUCAUGGGACAUUACACAGAUGCAAAACCACUGCACUCCCUGUGACAGUCUGCAUUUAAAGCUCUAUUUUUUAAAAGGUAAGAGAGAAAAGGGAGUUAAUUUUAGUAGUUUCCCCUUCACCACAUGUCUGUCAUUUUCGAGAAAAGAAAAGCCAUUUCCAGAGCAUUACUGUCAUUUCUAAACAAACUACACACAGUCUCCUAGCAGCCACAGACACCCCUGAUAAGGACAAAUAGAUACAUAAAGACAGGCAUUAAGAUUGCAAUGUCACACCCCAGAAGCCAUUUCCAUGAAAUUUCCCAAAAUGGGAGAAAAACACCUCAGUCUGGUUGUCAGACACAUAUCAGAAGAUAUAAUUGCAUUCUGGGAGACUAGGCAAAUCCAGAAGCAAUGACAAGUACAUUAGUGAUAGAAUCAGUUCCUAGCAAGUACAAGUUCCAUCAACUGCUAUAUCUCACCGUAUGGGCCAUGUCCAAAUGAACUGCACAGUAAGAUAUUAGAGAUUCCUCUCACUACCAGGAUGCCUGGAAACACAGAAUUACUUGACUUGAGUUUCAGUCCACACAGUCAUAAGAAGGGCAGUCCCAUGACAGGCCCCUAAGUGAGAAGCUCUCUCUACCUGAACAAACCUAUAGAAUUAUGGUCCCAUUAGGCAACAUUGGAAUCAACCUGUGUGCAGUUUAGGUGCUAUAACAGGAAGCAGAUUUUUAAAAUAAUUGCCAGUUCCAUAGCUGGUUUUAGUGUACCAUCAUCCCUUUGCCCACUCUUAGCUUAAGAACAACUAUCCAGAGUGGAAAGACCAUAGCUGAACUGACAAAUAAAGGUCUACAUGCAUUCUCA
rnacentral:lncRNA from 1 species